GACGAACGCUGGCGGCGUGCUUAACACAUGCAAGUCGAACGGACAGGCCCUGCUUUUGCGGGGUGCUCGAGUGGCGAACGGGUGAGUAACACGUGAGUAACCUGCCCUUGACUUUGGGAUAACUUCUGGAAACUGGGGCUAAUACCGGAUAGGAGCUCCUGCUGCAUGGUGGGCGUUGGUAAGUUUCGGCGGUUGGGGCUGGACUCGCGGCUUAUCCGCUUGUUGGUGGGGUAGUGGCUUACCAAGGCUUUGACGGGUAGCCGGCCUGAGAGGGGGACCGGCCACAUGGGUACUAAGGUACGGCCCAGACUCCUACGGGAGGCAGCAGUGGGGAAUAUUGCACAAUGAGCGGAAGCCUGAUGCAGCAGCGCCGCGUGCGGGAUGACGGGCUACGGGUUGUAAACCGCUGUCGCCUGUAACGAAGCGGGAGUGACGGUAAUGGGUAAAAAAGCACCGGCUAACUACGUG
rnacentral:rRNA from 1 species